rfam:Pyronema omphalodes CBS 100304, CBS100304, WGS project CATG01000000 data, contig: Pcon_v1_contig1349
GGUCGCUUAGCUCAGUUGGUUAGAGCGUGGUGCUAAUAAGCAAUCUUGUCAACGCCAAGGUCGCAGGUUCGACCCCUGCAGUGAUCA